GCGAAUAUCCAUAAAUAAAACUUAACCAUGAUAAUAUGACUAGAAUAGUCGCUUGAUAUUUUAUAUUCUGUUUUAUUUUAUCGUAAUCUUGCUAUGCUUUUAGUUGGUUCAACUAGUUUCAAGUACACUGCCCGGUUGUGUCUUGGCUAUCUUCUUUCCACUUUGUUUUUCCAUCUUAUUAUGAUAUUAAUGUUUAAAAAUGGAUUUUAAAAGAAAGAUAAAGGUUUUCUUAAUAUUUGGAAUAAAUUCGCUCUGCAACAACUCGUAAAGGUAAGUCACUCAUU
rnacentral:lncRNA from 1 species